rnacentral:rRNA from 1 species
UACGUAGGGUGCGAGCGUUAAUCGGAAUUACUGGGCGUAAAGCGUGCGCAGGCGGCUUUGCAAGACAGAUGUGAAAUCCCCGGGCUUAACCUGGGAACUGCAUUUGUGACUGCAUGGCUCGAGUGUGGCAGAGGGGGAUGGAAUUCCGCGUGUAGCAGUGAAAUGCGUAGAUAUGCGGAGGAACACCGAUGGCGAAGGCAAUCCCCUGGGCCUGCACUGACGCUCAUGCACGAAAGCGUGGGGAGCAAACAGG